ACUUCCGGCGUACGUACGCCUCCUCUUGCGUUCUCAUGUUAAUGGCGGGCGGCGGCUGCUGACAGGGACGCAGAUAACCGCUGCCCGCACCGGGAAAGUCUCCCUGCCUCUCCCCCUUUCCGCUCACCGCCACUACUCGCCAACAUGUCCGUGGUGCCGCCCAAUCGCUCGCAGACCGGCUGGCCCCGGGGGGUCAACCAGUUCGGCAACAAGUACAUCCAGCAGACCAAGCCCCUCACCUUGGAGCGCACUAUCAACCUGUACCCUCUUACCAAUUAUACUUUUGGUACAAAAGAACCUCUCUAUGAGAAGGACAGCUCUGUUGCAGCCAGAUUUCAACGCAUGAGGGAGGAAUUUGAUAAAAUUGGAAUGAGGAGGACUGUAGAAGGGGUUCUGAUUGUACAUGAGCACCGACUACCCCAUGUGCUACUGCUACAGCUGGGAACAACUUUCUUCAAACUACCUGGUGGUGAACUUAACCCAGGAGAAGAUGAAGUUGAAGGACUAAAACGCUUAAUGACAGAGAUACUAGGUCGUCAAGAUGGAGUCCUGCAAGACUGGGUCAUUGAUGACUGCAUUGGUAACUGGUGGAGACCAAAUUUUGAACCUCCUCAGUAUCCAUAUAUUCCUGCGCAUAUUACAAAACCGAAGGAACAUAAGAAGUUAUUUUUGGUUCAACUUCAAGAGAAAGCCUUGUUUGCAGUCCCUAAAAAUUACAAGCUGGUAGCCGCACCAUUGUUUGAAUUGUAUGACAAUGCCCCAGGAUACGGACCCAUCAUUUCUAGUCUCCCUCAGCUUUUGAGCAGGUUCAAUUUUAUAUACAACUGAACUCCUGCACAGUGGAGAAGUGAAAGAGGCCGUCUCUGUGAGCACAGCUCUGCACAGCAUAGAAUAAACAUGGGCCAUGGUAAAAUGGCGAUUUGUAAAGGAAGUUUCUAAAAGUGGGUGAGUUAGGUUUUGAACUUUUGGAUUGCAAAAUUAUUUCAAUUAACUUGAAGGUAUAUCCAUAGAGAUGAAAAUUUGAUUUUAGCAAGUGACACAAAACCUUUUCAAAAAUAUGUUAGAAUAAUCUGAAAUUUAAGGACAGGAUAGGGGAUAGAUUUUUGUCAGCCUAAGAGAAAAACAACAAAUUUAAAAAAUACUGCUAAAUUAGUGUC